ACCUGAGUUUCAUCAUGACUGUGCGAAGGAACUCGAAAUUCAUAGUGAGUUCAAAGUCUGCUAGGUGGCCCUAUUCAUAACACGUGUGAAAGGUAAGUGUGCAUAUAGACCCACAUUAAGGUGCAAUUAAUUAAGGUGAUGCAUUCUUGCAUGCAAAACUGCUCCUUUUGGACCCACUUUGGCCAUCCUCAUAACCCUAGCGAAAUCUACCCUCGUAGGACCAUGAUUCUACUAUGAAUUUCGUGUUCCAUCCUGCAGCCAUGGCUGAUAGUAACUCU
rnacentral:pre_miRNA from 1 species